CGUCGAGUAGCACGAGUAAAACCGCUCUUUUAUAAGGAAACAAAAAAAACAGCUAUCAAUUGUUGCUGUUCCUAGAGAUGUCUACAUUCAGACUCAAAUAUUAUAGAAGAUUGAAAUCCAAGAUAAAAGUAUUUUAUGCUCUUCAAGAAUCACUUGGAAGCGGCGUGUAGAUAAAGUAUUCAAUCUCAAAUUAGAUGACAAGAAAGAAGAAUUGCGGUAUGGAUUUUAUAGUCAGCAAUUUGUUAACAUUGUCUUUAUUCUUAAAAUAAUAACAAUUCAGGGAAACAAGAAUCAUUCAGUAGAACGUACGAAACAAAAUUUAUUAGUACAAGUAUUUUUUUACUUAGUACCAUUAUCAUGUACCUAUUAUAAUUUUUGUAAUAUCUUUUUUAAUGUCACUUGUAAUACGUGCAUACAAAUAGAAUGUAAGUAGCAAUCUGUAUAGAACUUCAUUUGGUUUAUGUUAAGGUUAGGUUUGAUUAGAUGUUAGAAUGUAUUGUUGUUAAAUUACGAACGUUUAAUUAUUACGUCUAUAGUUUUAUGAAAAAUUGUUUUUAGUUAGGGGUGUAAGUGGCUCUUCCUGGACCUCUUGAGCCAAAGUCAACCUCUCCUGCCCGCGGCGCACCCUGCCGACUAGCGAACGAGGCUCUGGCGGAGACGCGGCGGACUCAGCUCCGCGUGUCACUCGUGCUCAACAAUAACAACAAGCCGAGUGCACCAUCACGUCUCUAGUUUAUUAGUUAUUUUUUAUGUAUUGGUUAGGUCUGUCCAGGUCAUGCGAACGACGAAUAAUACUUCAAUGAUACUUAUUAGUUUUAAGUCUUCUAAUAUCUUAUUUAAUUAUAUUAUAUUGGAGCAGCUACGUUAGUCAUGUAGGUCUCAGGAUUAAGAAUAUAUGUACUUUGGUAAAAUUAGCGUAAUACUGUUAUUGGUGUGAAUUAUUCCAUAAUCUCUAGUUGUAAACCGUUUUCAAUUACAGUGUCACAUGCACAUUUAGUUACAAUAUAAUUACAUAUUUAAUCGUUCUAGUAUUAUAUUCCAAUCAAUUAAAUUAAUUCAUCUUAUAAAUUUUAUUCAAUAUCUUUGUGUGUAUUUAAUCUUAGAACAAGUAAACUGAGGUGUCGUAGUAGUAA